rnacentral:misc_RNA from 1 species
AUAUGAUUCAGUGCAUGUGUGGUUGGAUGCAUAUAUGCACUCAUCAAAGUAUAUUUAGUUCUUGCAUUCUUUAAUUAGUGUGGAGGGAAAGAAAUAGAAAAGGAUUUUGGGGCAGAGGAAAUGUGUCUCCUUAGUCUCAAAAAUAGGUGGCGAAUUUAUCUCAGAUUUUGGUCUAGCCAGAACUUCAUAAGGUGGCGAAGUUAUCUCAGAUUUUGGUCUAGACAGAACUUCAUAACAUUUUACUAAUGCUCAGGUUACUGUUUGCUGUUUCUGUUUGUUGUAAA